rnacentral:rRNA from 1 species
ACUCCUACGGGAGGCAGCAGUAAGGAAUAUUGCGCAAUGGACGAAAGUCUGACGCAGCGACGCCGCGUGGGGGAUGAAGGUCUUCGGAUUGUAAACCCCUUUCGGCAGGGAAGAUGGAACGGGCAACCGUUCGGACGGUACCUGCAGAAGCAGCCACGGCUAACUUCGUGCCAGCAGCCGCGGUAAUACGAAGGUGGCAAGCGUUGUUCGGAUUCACUGGGCGUACAGGGAGCAUAGGCGGUUAGGUAAGCCCUCCGUGAAAUCGCCGGGCCUAACCCGGAAAGUGCAGAGGGGACUGCUUGGCUAGAGGAUGGGAGAGGAGCGCGGAAUUCCCG